rnacentral:rRNA from 1 species
AGAGUGAACGCUGGCGGCAGGCCUAAUACAUGCAAGUCGAACGGCAGCACGGCAGAGCUUGCUCUGUGGGUGGCGAGCGGCGGACGGUGAGGAUACAUGGGAAUCUGCCCAGUCGUGGGGGAUAACGUAUGGAAACGUACGCUAAUACCGCAUGCGCCCUUCGGGGGAAAGCCGGGGACCUUCGGGCCUGGCCGCGAUUGGAUGAG